AAUAUGAGUAUUUUUUGAUGGUAUGUCUGCAUUUUCAAAAACUCCAUUAAUUUUUUCGUGUUAUUCAGGGAAAAUCAGACUCUGGUGAAACUGGCUUGCACUAACUAAAUUCACAAGAGCCUGGUUGAUAAACCAGAUUGUCAGUUAACUAUUUUGGAGUGGAAAAAAAUGGAGAUAUUAAGGAGUCUGAAACAUUCAUCUUCUCAGGUCAGUAUUUUCUCUCACUUAUGGGUAAGUCAGCCUGAGAAGCUGAAUCAUUAUUGAAAAGUUGCUUGGGAAAAACAAAGUCAGAAUAAAGAGAACUGGAUGAUCUUAAUGAGAAGUGUCAUUAUAAAGAACUAACUGAAGUUGAAAUGAUUUGGAUAGAAUGUUUAUGUCUUUUUCGGAGGCUCAGACUGCAUAUUCUCAGCGGAAUUUUAAAACUUCUCUUUUCAAUGCAUUCUGGUGAUAAUGCUCAAGUCCCCACGGAAAAACUCACCUCUAAAUUAUAUUUUAAAGGUCAUUUGUCAGUGAUUCAUUUGCUAGAGCCAGCUGGUUUGGUCUGAAUUUUGGUGUGGCUUCACUCUCAUUUCUUUUAUAAUAAAGUUGUACCAGUACAAUUAAGAGAGGUUUCCCUCAUAAUAUUUUUCUAUCAGCUUUCACUUCUGUCUUUAAACACUGUUAUCUACUUCCCCUGCCGCUGACCUUUACCUGUAUGUCAUUCGGUUCAUUAUGCCACAGACUGGCUGCUUUGGAAAUGCUGAAAUAUCUCGCUCCACUGCAAAUACAAUGCGUUAGCUCUGUUUCGUUGGCACUCACUGCUUUAACACUUCACGAGCAACCCAGUUGGACUGAAGGACAAGAUCUCUGCCUUGUGGAUCCUCCACCAAUUUUUUUUUAUUGUAAGAAUGACGUUAAGGAGGGAUACUGAACAAACUGCACUUCCCAAUGUUUCCAUGGACAGAAUUUGAGAGUUCAAGGUCAUGGUUAAAUUUAUUAGCAAUACUAGAUUCAUCAGGAACUGGAUGUCAUGCUCUCUCUUUUAAUCUUCAUAUCUUUAGCACCUCUCACAAUGUCUGGCAGAGAACAAGUGCUGGGAGACAAUUCUCCAUGGGCUUCUCACACUCUACACACCUUUCGAGUAGCGUCAUUGACUGCCUUUGUUCUGGACUGCUUUUCAAGGAUGUUUGUAUAAGAAAGUGCUUUGGAAGAGUGAGGAGGUGUCUCCCUCAGGAGCAAUGAGCAGGCGUGCUUACUGUUCAGUAUAAAAGAUUCCAUAAGCUCGGAGUUCCUCUCAAAUGCUGACACUGCCUGCUGCUACUGUGAGGUGGCUGUGUUUUUCUGUCGGUUUUAGAAUGCCUGACAAAUCUGAGCCUGGAAACCCUUUACCGAAAGGAGGUGAUCCAGUCUUUCUACAUGGCAGAUGGCCAAGCUGCCGCCUGUUACCUCCUGUUAAUAGUGACUCCAAGAGUCUGGCAGAGAGCUGGUGCCAGCCCGUGAAGAAUGAUUCCACCAGUGCCGACUGAAUUUGUGAGCGUUUGUGAUGCAACAGAAGUGGAGACAAGACAGGAGUGUGUUUGCUCUUACUGGAAUAGGCUGAAUUUCACUUCCAGAAGAGGAAAAGCUAAAAGUAUAAGGAAAGGCAAGAGCCAAAGAAGUCUCAGAGAGAGAGUUUUGCUGGGGGUGUGGACGGAGGAGUGGUGAGAGGUGAGACCCUCAGGGCCCUGCAAGGCGGGCUGUGGUUCCAAGGCCAGGUGGAGACUGGAUUUCAAGAAGUGUUGCCACAGGCUGUGUACUGAUUCCUUUGCCAGACUCUAGUAAGGAGCUUUUAAAUGUUAGAUUUUAUUUAAUUUUUGAAUAGAUUAUACAUUCACAUGGUUCAAAUCUUUAAAUGUACUGAGAGGUUUAUCAGGAAAAAGUCUCGCCAGCGCUCCAGGCCCCAGCCACCCACCUCUCAUCCAUGGAGGCCACCACAUUACCAGCUGCCUGUCUAUCUUCCGGAGGCGUUUUAUGCACAUACAAGCAGAUAGACAUUUGUAUUACGUAUUCACCCCACUCAGUUUUUAUACAGGUGGCAUCAUCCUACACAGAUUCUUCUACACGCUGCUUUACUGUCCUGUCAAUAUCUGCGAUGUUGUUUCAUUUGAUUAGAUAAAUGAUUCCCCAUUCUUUUUUUGCAGCUGCAGAGUAUUGCAGCGUAGCAACGUACAAAUAUUUUUUAGCUAGUCCACCCUUUUGGCUGCUUCCAAUCGCUUUUAUAUACAUGACACCAUGAAUUACCCUAAUCUUAACUUCUUUGGUACGGUGCACACCUUUGGCAGUCCGCUAAAACCUAUGAAUUUCUUCUCACCAUAAUGUUUUCAAGAGUAUAAAAUAAAAUCCUUAGGAUUAAAAGGAAAUCAAUUAUACUGAAAUAUAG